rnacentral:tRNA from 1 species
UUUGAAACAGGGAGAUAUCUGGAGAUUGCGGGUUCAAGUCCCGUCGGGGUCG